rnacentral:tRNA from 1 species
AGGGAUGUAGUUCAGUGACAGAAUGCUUGCUUGCAUGCAUGAGGCUCUGGGUUCCAUCCCCAGCAUCACAA